rnacentral:tRNA from 1 species
GUCUCCGUAGCUCAGUGGAUAGAGCGUUUGGUUGCGGACCAAAAGGUCGCAGGUUCGAAUCCUGCCGGGGACGCCA